rnacentral:rRNA from 1 species
AGAGUGGCGAACGGGUGAGUAACACGUGGAUAAUCUGCCUCCGGGUUGGGGAUAACUGUCCGAAAGGAUAGCUAAUACCGAAUGAGAUGGCGGUUACAUAAGUAGCAGCCAUUAAAGGUGGGGACCGCAAGGCCUACUGCCUGGAGAUGAGUCCGCGGCUGAUUAGCUAGUUGGUGGGGUAACGGCCUACCAAGGCGACGAUCAGUAGCCGGCCUGAGAGGGUGAACGGCCACAUUGGGACUGAGAUACGGCCCAGACUCCUACGGGAGGCAGCAGUUAAGAAUCUUGCACAAUGGGCGCAAGCCUGAUGCAGCGACGCCGCGUGAAUGAUGAAGGCCUUCGGGUUGUAAAGUUCAGUAAGCAGGGAAGAAUAAGCAAGGGGUAAUAUUUCUUGUGAUGACGGUACCUGCCUAAAGCCCCGGCUAACUACGUGCCAGCAGCCGCGGUAAUACGUAUGGGGCGAGCGUUGUUCGGAAUUAUUGGGCGUAAAGGGCGUCUAGGCGGGGAUUUAAGUUAGGUGUGAAAGCUAUGGGCUCAACCCAUAAACUGCAUCUAAAACUGAAUCUCUUGAGUUCGGGAGAGGAGAGCGGAAUUCCAGGUGUAGCGGUGAAAUGCGUAGAUAUCUGGAAGAACACCAGUGGCGAAGGCGGCUCUCUGGCCUAGAACUGACGCUGAAGCGCGAAAGCGUGGGGAGCGAACAGGAUUAGAUACCCUGGUAGUCCACGCUGUAAACGUUGUAUACUAGGUGUUAGUGGCUUGUCCACUAGUGCCGCAGCAAACGCAUUAAGUAUACCGCCUGGGGAGUACGCCCGCAAGGGUGAAACUCAAAGAAAUUGACGGGGGCCCGCACAAGCGGUGGAGCAUGUGGUUUAAUUCGAUGAUACGCGAAGAACCUUACCUGGGCUUGAA